rnacentral:rRNA from 1 species
CCUACGGGUGGCAGCAGUGGGGAAUAUUGGGCAAUGGGCGCAAGCCUGACCCAGCAACGCCGCGUGAAGGAAGAAGGCUCUCGGGUUUUAAACUUCUUUUAUCAGGGACGAAGCAAGUGACGGUACCUUAUGAAUAAGCCACGGCUAACUACGUGCCAGCAGCAGCGGUAAUACGUAGGUGGCAAGCGUUAUCCGGAUUUAGUGGGUGUACAGGGCGCGUAGGCGGGAAGGCAAGUCAGAUGUGAAAACUAGGGGCUCAACCUGUGACCUGCAUUUGAAACUGUUUAUCUUGAGUACAGGAGAGGCAGACGGAAUUCCUAGUGUAGCGGUGAAAUGCGUAGAUAUUAGGAGGAACACCAGUGGCGAAGGCAGUCUACUGAACAGCAACUGACGUUGAGGCGCGAAAGCGUGGGGAGCAAACAGGAUUAGAUACCCGGGUAGUC